GCUUAACAAAAAGGAGGAUAUGGAGGAAAAGGGAAAAAAACAUUGGGCCAUUUUCAUAUUAUCCUAAAAGUUGGGAUCUUUUACACAAAGAACUUCAUACUUCAAUUACAAGUCAUUAAAAAUUAUAAUUAUGUCUUUGUUGAAAUAUUGAACUUUUAACCACUCUGAUCAGAUGAAUUACUUUUAGAGCUUUGUAGCAUCAUUCGAUAAGAAAAGUUGCUUUAGACUGAUCCAAAGCCUGUUCUGAAAGAACUUAAACUAAAACACUUCUAACUUGUUUCCAACUCAAUCUAGAAUGACCUAACAUACCACCCAUUGACGAAUACCAUCUGACCAGAAGCAGUAGUCCAGUGCCUUUGACAAGAGUUUUCACUUUAGGCACCGUAAACCAUACAAGGUAGUUGAAAAAAUGACUGGUCCAAUAUGCUCUUUGUAAGCAUAUCCUCCAUCAAGUUUAAGAAACAUCCUCAUUCUCACAACCUUUACCGCAUCCAUUUCCAUUGUUAAACCAGUCAAAUCAAUACCACUUAAUUUCCUUUUCAUAAUUUCAAAUUCUAUUAAAUAAUCCUAUUUUGUAACUGCACUUUUUAUUUGCAUCUUCUAUAUAAUCAAACAACAAUUAUU
rnacentral:lncRNA from 1 species